rfam:Stegodyphus mimosarum contig34358, whole genome shotgun sequence.
GCCUUCGUGGUGUAGUGGUCAACACACUCGGCGCGUAACCGAGAGGUUCGUGGUUCGAUUCUAGGUGAAGACG